rnacentral:hammerhead_ribozyme from 1 species
ACCCAGUUGACGAGUCCCAAAUAGGACGGACGAAACGCCCGUCAUGGAU